UGAGCAAUCUGCCCUUCUCUUUGGAAUAAGCGUUGGAAACGACGUCUAAUGCCGAAUACGACCUCCUUUCGCAUGAUCGGAGGUGGAAAGCUCCGGCGGAGAAGGAUGAGCUCGCGGCCUAUCAGCUAGUUGGUGUGGGUAAUGGCCCACAAGGCGACGACGGGUAGCCGGCCUGGAGGAGGGUCGACCCGGCCACACGUGGGACUGAGACACCGGCCCAGACCUCCGUACGGGAG
rnacentral:rRNA from 1 species